AUUCGUGUGCGAGACGUCGGCGGAGGAGGAGCUCGAGUUUAGCUGCGAUCUCUCGCGCGUUACUGAGGGUGUUGGAGUUUGGGUUCAUUGGUUUCUAUUUUCUGUUUUGUUUGCAAGGCAAGUUCUUUCUUUGAAGUAAGAGGUGAUGCAGUGAUGGAUCGGAGGCGGCCCGUAAAGCGGGUGCGACCUGACGAGUUUUUCUUUGACGGAGGAGAGUCCAACAACACAGGGUCUUUCUUGAAGAAGUAGUCGCAUAGUUCCGAAGUUGAGGCUCGUUAUGAUCGGUAUGAUCAUGAGACAUGAACCCUCCAACGCAAGUUGAUAACUGAGUGAGGUACCAAGAGCAGACUCGUGCCUGAAGAUCCUUUUGAACUGAAUGGCUCGCUGGACAGAUGCGAGGUCAAGAGCGUUAUGAUUGAAUGACUCAUAACCAGAAACCAUCCUUUUUGUUUCUAUUUUUAAGUUUUUAAUCAGUUAUAUGUUAGAAACUAACCGUUACUAAUAUACUUCACCGGACAUUUCCUGCCUGGACAUAUCCGAAGCCCGCGCAUACAUCCCCAUGCCAUCCCAUGCUAAACCUAUCAUUUUCCUUCAUCUGCUUAGUUUCCCUCUGCACCAUCUGGCUGCAACCGAUUGCAACAUCUACUCGAUCGAGACAAGAAUGGCGCACUGAUGACAACAACUACGGACGCUUGAGCCCAACGAGGCUAUGCGCCCUAACCCAACAAGUACAAGU
rnacentral:lncRNA from 1 species